UAGGGAAUUGUUCGCAAUGGGGGCAACCCUGACGAAGCAACGCCGCGUGGGUGAUGAAGUCUCUUGGGACGUAAAACCCUUUCGACAGGGAAGAAACCGCAAGGUUGACGGUACCUGUAGAAGAAGCCCCGGCUAACUCCGUGCCAGCAGCCGCGGUAAUACGGGGGGGGCAAGCGUUGGUCGGAAUUACUGGGCGUAAAGGGCGCGUAGGCGGUCUACUAAGUUGGAUGUGAAAACUCUGGGCUUAACUCAGAGCCUGCAUUCAAAACUGAUAGGCUGGAGUUCUGGAGGGGAUAGCGGAAUUCCUGGUGUAGCGGUGAAAUGCGUAGAUAUCAGGAGGAACACCGGUGGCGAAGGCGGCUAUCUGGACAGAAACUGACGCUGAGGCGCGAAAGCUAGGGGAGCAAA
rnacentral:rRNA from 1 species